UACAGAGGGUGCGAGCGUUAAUCGGAAUUACUGGGCGUAAAGCGCACGUAGUCGGCUUUGCAAGUCGGGUGUGAAAUCCCCGGGCUCAACCUGGGAACUGCAUCCGAGACUGCAUUGCUAGAGUAUGGGAGAGGGAAGCGGAAUUUCUGGUGUAGCAGUGAAAUGCGUAGAGAUCGGGAGGAACAUCCAUGGCGAAGGCAGCUACCUGGACCAACACUGACACUGAGGCACGAAAGCGUGGGGAGCAAACAGG
rnacentral:rRNA from 1 species